UACGUAGGGGGCUAGCGUUGUCCGGAAUCAUUGGGCGUAAAGCGCGCGUAGGCGGCCCGGUAAGUCCGCUGUGAAAGUCAGAGGCUCAACCUUUGAAUGUCAGCGGAUACUGCCGGGCUAGAGUCCGGAAGAGGCGAGUGGAACUCCUGGUGUAGCGGUGGAAUGCGCAGAUAUCAGGAAGAACACCAACGGCGAAGGCAGCUCGCUGGGACGGAACUGACGCUAAGGCGCGAAAGCUAGGGGAGCGAACGGG
rnacentral:rRNA from 1 species